rnacentral:misc_RNA from 1 species
CCCACGACAGCUUUUUUUUUUUUUAUCCACGACAGCGUUUAGACCCUAUUUCAUAAAUAAAAGUUAAUGACUAAUUAUUGUGAUUAAUUUAUAAUUAUAAUAUUAAUGUAAUUAUUUAAAUCCCAAUAAUUAACAUGUUAGCCGCCCUAUUAGCUACGCAGUCUACUCUCGCUAACUAAACGUUGCAGAAGCCAUGUCUAUCGUCUCCUUCUUCAUCUUCUUCCUCUUCGGGGGAAUCAUCCGUUCAAUAGCUGGAAAGUCUCACAUCAUCCAUUUCCGGUCCCCUAAUCUCUAUCCAGAGGGCCUUGCCUACGACCCAUCGGCCCAACACUUCAUCGUUGGUUCCUUUCGCGAUCGUACUAUCCACGCUGUAUCGGAUGCGGGCGUCGUCGAAACUCUGAUCUCCGAUCCCUCCCUCCCUCUAAACGCCACCUUUUUGGGCCUGGCAGUAGAUUCGGUCAACAACCGUCUUCUUGCGGUUAUCCACUCCUUUGCCCCACUUCCUCCCUUCAACGCCCUCGCCGCUUACGACCUCCGCACCCGCCAACGCCUGUUUCUCUCCCUCCUACCAGACGGCGACGUCACCUCCACCGAUCGGGCCGCCGCCAAUGCCGUGACCGUCGAUUUUAAGGGAAACGCAUACAUCACCAAUUCAAUGGGCAACUCUGAAGGAAACUUCAUCUGGAAAGUCAACACAGAAGGAGAGGCGUCCAUUUUCUCAAGAUCUCCAAUUUUCAAUCAGCAUCCCGUGGACCGAAACGCACCGUUUAGCUACUGCGGUCUCAACGGGAUUGCUUACGUCAGCAAGGGGUAUCUACUCGUGGUUCAAUCUAACACAGGGAAAAUGUUUAAGGUGGACGCAGAGGAUGGCACGGCGAGGACAGUAUUGUUGAACGAGGAUUUAAAUCUGCCGGAUGGGAUCGCGAUCCGAAGAGACGGCGUCGUCUUGGUGGUGUCCCCGGUUGAGGAUGGUAAGCUAUGGUUCUUGAAAAGCGAUGAUAGUUGGGGAGAGGGAGUGGUUUAUGACAAAAUUGACCUCGAUGCGGAGAGGUUCCCCACUUCAGUUGCAGUGGGAAGAGAUGAUAGGGCAUACGUGGUAUAUGGGAGAGUGAUAGAGAGUAUAAUGGGAAAGGAGGGGAGGGAGUGGUUUGAUAUAGAGGAGGUGAAAUCAGAAAGGGAAAGAAAGGACGAGAAUGUUUGGGUUUUCGUUUUGAUUGGAUUGGGUUUGGCCUAUUUCUUCUUCUGGAGAUUUCAAAUGAAGCAGCUUGUGAAAAAUAUGUAUAAAAAAAAUAAUUAAAUUUUUCCUUUUUUUUUAUGAAUUUUAGAAUGUACACUCUUUUUUUAACUUUCAAAACUGAACUUGGAGUAUAUGAUAAUGAUUUCGAUUUAUGCUUUGUUUUUAAUUUACAUUUAUGUUUUAAGAACGUGUGAGAUCCUCCUUACUUCAUUAAUGCAUUGCCUUCCCAAACUCAAACCGACUUGAAGGUUGAUGAAGCGGUGGCAAAGGCGACGCAGCUGUAUCUCCAGCUACAACGGUUGCUCGAGUUUAGAAUGAUGUGCGGUUAUUGCAUUUUUACUUCUCCUUCAUAUGGCUAGGAUUAGGGAUUUUUUUUUUUUUUUAUACAAGUAUAUGCUUCUUGCUUUUAUAUUCAAGAGGGUUACAGUAGGUCUCAGUCUGAGAAAGAAGGAAAGGAAGAAAAUAGUAGGGGAGGGGGUAAGUUUUUU